GACGAACGCUGGCGGCGUGCUUAACACAUGCAAGUCGAACGGAAAGGCCCCCUUGUGGGGUACUCGAGUGGCGAACGGGUGAGUAACACGUGAGUAACCUACCCUUGACUUUGGGAUAACUUCAGGAAACUGGGGCUAAUACCGGAUAGGAGCUCCUGCUGCAUGGUGGGGGUUGGAAAGUUUCGGCGGUUGGGGAUGGACUUGCGGCUUAUCAGCUUGUUGGUGGGGUAGUGGCUCACCAAGGCUUUGACGGGUAGCCGGCCUGAGAGGGUGACCGGCCACAUUGGGACUGAGAUACGGCCCAGACUCCUACGGGAGGCAGCAGUGGGGAAUAUUGCACAAUGGGCGGAAGCCUGAUGCAGCAACGCCGCGUGCGGGAUGACGGCCUUCGGGUUGUAAACCGCUUUCGCCUGUGACGAAGCGUGAGUGACGGUAAUGGGUAAAGAAGCACCGGCUAACUACGUG
rnacentral:rRNA from 1 species